AUAGUCUAUAUUUUGGAGGAGAAAGCGAUGCCUGGGCCUCCGGAUCCUUUACUGAAUACGACAUAGUCGAAAAACAAACGACCGCACGUGUUAUAAGUGAAGCGAGCAAAACUUGUAAGAUACUGAACAGUACGUUUUAAGUCAGAAGAUGGAAUAUAAUAUUGGACACAUUAUGAGACACACAGAAGAGGAUCUACUUAAUAUUAUAUGU